rnacentral:sRNA from 1 species
GUUUAAAAAAUUAACGUAAAAUAUACUAUCUCGCCCCAUUUCUACUAUCUCAAAAAAAUAUAUCUUGAUAUUACAUUUUUCGUUCCAUUUUCGGUUCCGUUAUCCGUUCUGCGUUUUAGCAACAUCCAUAAGGUAAUACAGUGAACAUCUAUUUUUGGGUCAUUUGAGUCACUUUGGUAACCUAUUACCGUUGGUCGUGCAUCGCAUGUGAACAUUUUUGCAUUUGUAACACUAAUUAGAAAACAAGGUAUUUUAUCACUUGCUUAAAUUAUCUAAGCCUUAUGUUAUAUUUUAGUAAAUUUACUUUAAUAUUUUGUAAAUUGUGUGCUUGUAUCAAGAAACUGUUUUCAUGUUGUAUGCGUAAUAAAUAAAACUGUUGACCAUUUUUUUCUAAAAGCAAAUUCACUAUCAAAGGCCUGACGUUAAAAGUGCAAACAUAAACUCCGCAUCAUUAUGCCCAGGUUCCCGUCGAGGCCUGUAGCCCUCGUUUCAAUUGCAAAUUAAUUUUUUGUCUAUUUAUCAGUAUAACUUUUUGAGAUGGUCGACAGUUUUUAUUGUCAUUUUUUCAUUAGUUUUUGUUCUAUUUGUAGAUACAUGUAACUAUGAUUCAUUGAUUUGAUUUUUAUUUUAUGUUUUUUUUUGUUCUUUUAAAACAAACAUUAAAUACUUCAUUGUGCUAUUAAAAAAAUAAGUAUG